GGGGAAUAUUGCGCAAUGGGGGAAACCCUGACGCAGCAACGCCGCGUGAGUGAGGAAGGACUUCGGUCUGUAAAGCUCUGUUAAUGUGGAAAAAUGCUUGUUGGCCUAAUAGGCCGGCAAGUUGAUGGUACACAUAGAGGAAGCACCGGCUAACUUCGUGCCAGCAGCCGCGGUAAUACGAAGGGUGCAAGCGUUGUUCGGAUUUAUUGGGCGUAAAGCGCACGUAGGUGGACUUAUAAGUCAGAUGUGAAAUCUCGGGGCUCAACCUCGAAACUGCAUCUGAAACUGCAAGUCUAGAAUCUUGGAGGGGGCAGGGGAAUUUCACAUGUAGGGGUAAAAUCCGUAGAUAUGUGAAGGAACACCAGAGGCGAAGGCGCCUGCCUGGACAAGUAUUGACACUGAGGUGCGAAAGCGUGGGGAUCAAAC
rnacentral:rRNA from 1 species